rnacentral:rRNA from 1 species
UGCAGUCGAACGCUUCUUUCCUCCCGAGUGCUUGCACUCAAUUGGAAAGAGGAGUGGCGGACGGGUGAGUAACACGUGGGUAACCUACCCAUCAGAGGGGGAUAACACUUGGAAACAGGUGCUAAUACCGCAUAACAGUUUAUGCCGCAUGGCAUAAGAGUGAAAGGCGCUUUCGGGUGUCGCUGAUGGAUGGACCCGCGGUGCAUUAGCUAGUUGGUGAGGUAACGGCUCACCAAGGCCACGAUGCAUAGCCGACCUGAGAGGGUGAUCGGCCACACUGGGACUGAGACACGGCCCAGACUCCUACGGGAGGCAGCAGUAGGGAAUCUUCGGCAAUGGACGAAAGUCUGACCGAGCAACGCCGCGUGAGUGAAGAAGGUUUUCGGAUCGUAAAACUCUGUUGUUAGAGAAGAACAAGGACGUUAGUAACUGAACGUCCCCUGACGGUAUCUAACCAGAAAGCCACGGCUAACUACGUGCCAGCAGCCGCGGUAAUACGUAGGUGGCAAGCGUUGUCCGGAUUUAUUGGGCGUAAAGCGAGCGCAGGCGGUUUCUUAAGUCUGAUGUGAAAGCCCCCGGCUCAACCGGGGAGGGUCAUUGGAAACUGGGAGACUUGAGUGCAGAAGAGGAGAGUGGAAUUCCAUGUGUAGCGGUGAAAUGCGUAGAUAUAUGGAGGAACACCAGUGGCGAANNCGGCUCUCUGGUCUGUAACUGACGCUGANGCUCGAAAGCGUGGGGAGCAAACAGGANUAGAUA